GAUGAACGCUGGCGGCGUGCCUAAUACAUGCAAGUAGAACGCUGAAGGAAGGAGCUUGCUCUUUCCGGAUGAGUUGCGAACGGGUGAGUAACGCGUAGGUAACCUGCCUGGUAGCGGGGGAUAACUAUUGGAAACGAUAGCAAAUACCGCAUAACAGUAGAUGUUGCAUGAUAUCUACUUAAAAGGUGCAAUUGCACCACUACCAGAUGGACCUGCGUUGUAUUAGCUAGUUGGUGAGGUAACGGCUCACCAAGGCGACGAUACAUAGCCGACCUGAGAGGGUGAUCGGCCACACUGGGACUGAGACACGGCCCAGACUCCUACGGGAGGCAGCAGUAGGGAAUCUUCGGCAAUGGACGGAAGUCUGACCGAGCAACGCCGCGUGAGUGAAGAAGGUUUUCGGAUCGUAAAGCUCUGUUGUAAGAGAAGAACGAGUGUGAGAGUGGAAAGUUCACACUGUGACGGUAUCUUACCAGAAAGGGACGGCUAACUACGUG
rnacentral:rRNA from 1 species